AGGAACAACAUUUAACAAAAUUGUAAAUAAACACUUAAUCAAUAUAUAUGAAUAAUUUUUAUCUUUUUAAUUCAGCUUUUAUUUCCUUAAACUAUAAAGCACAUCAUAUCUAUCAAAUGAGGUAAAUAAGCAAUCCUUAUUAAAA